UUCCUGACGUUAGGCACGAAAGUUAGGGUAGCGAAACAGAUUAGAUACCUGUGUAGUCCUAGCCGUAANCGAUGUCCGCUUAACUUUUGCCGACUUGUCGGCAGAGGUUCAAGCUAACGCAUUAAGCGGACCGCCUGGGGAGUACGACCGCAAGGUUAAAACUCAAAGGAAUUGACGGGGACCCGCACAACUGGUGGAGCGUGUGGUUUAAUUUGAGACGAAGCAAAAAACCUUACCAGGGUUUGACAUGAUACCGUUUUAUGCCUAUGGAAACACUGGCAGAUCCGCAAGGAUGGUACCACAGGUGCUGCAUGGCUGUCGUCAGCUCGUGUCGUGAGAUGUUCCCUUAAGUGGGGAAACGAGCGCAACCCCCGUGAAAUGUUACAUAUUCAUUUCAGACGGUCCCGAUCAUAUCGGGAAGGAAGGAGGGGAAGACGUCAAGUCAGCAUGGUCCUUACACCCUGGGAUACACACACCCUACAAUGGCGAACAACAAAGGGCUGCAAGCCAGCAAUGGCAAGCUAAUCCCAGAAAUUUCGCCUCAGUUCAGAUUGGGGGCUGCAACCCGCCCCCAUGAAGUCGGAAUCAGUAGUAAUCGCGGAUCAGAAGGCCGCGGUGAAUACGUUCUCGGGUCUUGUACACACCGCCCGUCAAGGCAGCAAAGUCGGGAGUGGAUGAAGGCUAUCGAAAGAUGGACGAGUCCAAGCUUGGCGAUGAAGCUUAAGUCGUAACAAGGUAACC
rnacentral:rRNA from 1 species